GACCUCAGAUCAGGCAAGGCUACCCGCUGUAUUUAAGCAUAUUAAUAAGCGGAGGAAAAGAAACUAACAAGGAUUCCCCUAGUAAUGGCGAAUGAAGCGGGAAC
rnacentral:rRNA from 1 species